GAUGAAGAACGUAGCGAAAUGCGAUAAGUAAUGUGAAUUGCAGAAUUCAGUGAAUCAUCGAAUCUUUGAACGCACAUUGCGCCCCUUGGUAUUCCGAGGGGCAUGCCUGUUCGAGCGUCAUUAUAACCCCUCAAGCUCAGCUUGGUGUUGGGGCCUGCUGCACUGGCAGCCCUUAAAAUCAGUGGCGGCGCCAUCUGCUCUAAGCGUAGUAAUUCUUCUCGCUAUGGAGUCCUGGUGGAUGCUUGCCAUCAACCCCCAAUUUUUCUAUGGUUGACCUCGGAUCAGGUAGGGAUACCCGCUGAACUUAAGCAUAUCAAUAAGCGGAGGA
rnacentral:misc_RNA from 1 species